rnacentral:tRNA from 1 species
GCGCGGUUAGCUCAGCUGGAUAGAGCGUUGGCCUCCGAAGCCAAAGGUCAGUGGUUCGAAUCCACUACCGCGCACCA